rnacentral:rRNA from 1 species
CGUAAAGAGCUCGUAGGUGGUUUGUCGCGUUGUUCGUGAAAUCUCACGGCUUAACUGUGAGCGUGCGGGCGAUACGGGCAGACUUGAGUACUGCAGGGGGGACUGGAAUUCCUGGUGUAGCGGUGGAAUGCGCAGAUAUCAGGAGGAACACCGGUGGCGAAGGCGGGUCUCUGGGCAGUAACUGACGCUGAGGAGCGAAAGCGUGGGGAGCGAACAGGAUUAGAUACCCUGGUAGUCCACGCCGUAAACGGUGGGUACUAGGUGUGGGUUUCCUUCCUUGGGAUCCGUGCCGUAGCUAACGCAUUAAGUACCCCGCCUGGGGAGUACGGCCGCAAGGCUAAAACUCAAAGAAAUUGACGGGGGCCCGCACAAGCGGCGGAGCAUGUGGAUUAAUUCGAUGCAACGCGAAGAACCUUACCUGGGUUUGACAUGCACAGGACGCCGGCAGAGAUGUCGGUUCCCUUGUGGCCUGUGUGCAGGUGGUGCAUGGCUGUCGUCAGCUCGUGUCGUGAGAUGUUGGGUUAAGUCCCGCAACGAGCGCAACCCUUGUCUCAUGUUGCCAGCGGGUAAUGCCGGGGACUCGUGAGAGACUGCCGGGGUCAACUCGGAGGAAGGUGGGGAUGACGUCAAGUCAUCAUGCCCCUUAUGUCCAGGGCUUCACACAUGCUACAAUGGCCGGUACAAAGGGCUGCGAUGCCGCGAGGUUAAGCGAAUCCUUUUAAAGCCGGUCUCAGUUCGGAUCGGGGUCUGCAACUCGACCCCGUGAAGUCGGAGUCGCUAGUAAUCGCAGAUCAGCAACGCUGC